AAAUUGAAGAGUUUGAUCAUGGCUCAGAUUGAACGCUGGCGGCAGGCCUAACACAUGCAAGUCGAACGGUAACAGGAAGCAGCUUGCUGCUUCGCUGACGAGUGGCGGACGGGUGAGUAAUGUCUGGGAAACUGCCUGAUGGAGGGGGAUAACUACUGGAAACGGUGGCUAAUACCGCAUAACGUCGCAAGACCAAAGAGGGGGACCUUCGGGCCUCUUGCCAUCAGAUGUGCCCAGAUGGGAUUAGCUGGUUGGUGAGGUAACGGCUCACCAAGGCGACGAUCCCUAGCUGGUCUGAGAGGAUGACCAGCCACACUGGAACUGAGACACGGUCCAGACUCCUACGGGAGGCAGCAGUGGGGAAUAUUGCACAAUGGGCGCAAGCCUGAUGCAGCCAUGCCGCGUGUAUGAAGAAGGCCUUCGGGUUGUAAAGUACUUUCAGCGGGGAGGAAGGUGUUGUGGUUAAUAACUGCAGCAAUUGACGUUACCCGCAGAAGAAGCACCGGCUAACUCCGUGCCAGCAGCCGCGGUAAUACGGAGGGUGCAAGCGUUAAUCGGAAUUACUGGGCGUAAAGCGCACGCAGGCGGUCUG
rnacentral:rRNA from 1 species